UAUCUGGUUGAUUCUGCCAGUAGUCAUAUGCUUGUCUCAAAGAUUAAGCCAUGCAUGUCUAAGUAUAAGCACUUUAUACUGUGAAACUGCGAAUGGCUCAUUAAAUCAGUUAUCGUUUAUUUGAUAGUACC
rnacentral:ncRNA from 1 species